rnacentral:rRNA from 1 species
UAGGGAAUCUUCCGCAAUGGACGCAAGUCUGACGGAGCAACGCCGCGUGAGUGAAGAAGGAUUUCGGUUCGUAAAACUCUGUUGUUAGAGAAGAACAGCGCAUAGAGUAACUGUUAUGCGUGUGACGGUAUCUAACCAGAAAGCCACGGCUAACUACGUGCCAGCAGCCGCGGUAAUACGUAGGUGGCAAGCGUUGUCCGGAUUUAUUGGGCGUAAAGCGAGCGCAGGCGGUCAAUUAAGUCUGAUGUGAAAGCCCCCGGCUCAACCGGGGAGAGUCAUUGGAGACUGGUUGACUUGAGUGCAGAAGAGGAGAGAGGAAUUCCAUGUGUAGCGGUGAAAUGCGUAGAUAUAUGGAGGAACACCAGUGGCGAAGGCGACUCUCUGGUCUGUAACUGACGCGGAGGUUCGAAAGCGUGGGUAGCAAACAGG